rnacentral:lncRNA from 1 species
UGCCUUUGUUGUUCUUCUUUGCUUUUCUCCUUGCUUCUCUUCUCGCUCUUCUUUCUUUCUUUCUUUCUUUCCGCAUCGGUGGUCUUGUCAUCUUUGAGGGUGGCAUUACUCGCUGUGGAUAGUGACAUCUCACUGCUGCUUCUUGCAUCCUCGACAAGCACAGCAUCAUCCUUUGGCUCUCGGGUGGAUCUUGAUCCUCUUCCAACUUUCAUACUUCACGUGGUG